rnacentral:rRNA from 1 species
UACGACUACAUAUCAGGCAUAUCAAUAAGCGGAGGAAAAGAAACUAACAAGGAUUCCCUUAGUAACGGCGAGUGAAGCGGGAAGAGCUCAAAUUUGAAAUCUUCAAGGUUUUACCUUGACGAAUUGUAGUUUAAAGAAGUGUUUUCUGUUGAAGUUUUGGUAAAAGUUCUUUGGAAUAGGACAUCAUAGAGGGUGAGAAUCCCGUAUUUGACCAUUAUUUUCAGCUGUGUGAUACACUUUCAAAGAGUCGGAUUGUUUGGGAAUGCAGUCCAAAAUGGGUGGUAAAUUUCAUCUAAAGCUAAAUAUUGGCGAGAGACCGAUAGCGAACAAGUACCGUGAGGGAAAGAUGAAAAGAACUUUGAAAAGAGAGUUAAACAGUACGUGAAAUUGUCGAAAGGGAAGCGUUUGACACCAGUGUUGUUUUCUCGAAAAUCAAUUAAAAAUAGUUGGAUUUUGUGUUGUAUUGACCUUAACAGCUUGCUUCACUCUUUUCCAGCUUUUUUUAAUGCACUUUUCGUUUAACAAGUCAACAUCAGUUUCUUUUGUUGUAAAAGGGUCAUUGGAAGGUGGCUUUCUUUCGGAGAAAGUGUUUAUAGCCUUUGCUCUCUGCAAUCGGAGAGAUUGAGGUCUGCAGCGUAGAUCCUUCGGGGUUAGAUACAUUUGUGCUAAGCUACAGCUUUUCAUAGACAACUUGUUGACUAUGUUUAGUCUUGUGACUUACCCGCUUAUGCUAUUUUACCUACGCUUAGGAUGUUGAGCGCAUGUCUCUCUCU